rnacentral:rRNA from 1 species
UACGUAGGGGGCGAGCGUUGUCCGGAUUUAUUGGGCGUAAAGAGCGUGUAGGCGGCUUGGUAGGUCCGUUGUGAAAACUCGAGGCUCAACCUCUAGACGUCGAUGGAAACCAUCUAGCUAGAGUCCGGAAGAGGAGAGUGGAAUUCCUGGUGUAGCGGUGAAAUGCGCAGAUAUCAGGAAGAACACCCGUGGCGAAGGCGGCUCUCUGGUACGUGACUGACGCUGAGACGCGGAAGCGUGGGGAGCGAACAGG